CAAAGAGGAAACUAUUUAGGGCUUGGUACCACUUAAGCUCCCCUUGAUUAAACGGGAAUUAGCCAGCAGAGAGUUACUGGAAAGCCUCCCUGCUCCGAGGGGUGACCACGCUACGGACGCGCUGCCGCGACAAUUCGCGCGCGGAAUGCUCGCCCCACGGAAACAGGAAGCCAGAUGACCAUCUUAGGGGAGAUACAGGAAAUCAAGGUAAGUAUACUGUAGCAAUACAAUCUAGGAUAAUAUCCAUCCUUCCUCUGGGGAGGUUUCCCACAAUACUUUAUCCUGAGGGCUUACUUCUGCCUAUUUACAGUAUAUGCCUAGAGUAGAAAUUCAAAGGAGUACAACCUUGCAGUGCAUUUGGGGGCUUCUAAAAUGCUGAUCAUGAGAAGAAAAAUAAAGAGCAUCUUCGUUUUUAAAUAACACCAUGUUUUCUGCAAAAUUAUGAUUGGUUACAUUCUGAUUUUCUAGGUUUGUUGCAAAUAGAAGUGAAUCGGACAACACUCGCCAUCAUAAUUGCUUUCUGUGUGAAGAGGUCUUUUUCAGGCUGAGCUGACUGCUGCUGUUUUAAUCAGAAUGUUGUCUAUUUGUAUGUUAAUAGUUUCAUCCUGGUUUAUUAGGCUUGCUGAUGAAAAAGCAAAAAUCAGAUGCUUUACUAUUUUCAAGCUCCACUAUUAAUCUGUGAUUUUUUUGGUGCUAACACAGAACCAUUUCAGCAUCCUCUGCCUUAAAUCCUCUUAAUGAAAGCAUGAAGAAUGACAAAAUACUUCCUUUCAUAAAGCAGAAGGCUGUGCCAAUUCACUUUCAACAUGCUCAUUCAGUGGAACUGAGGCAUUCAGAUUACAUUUUGGAUGCAAAACCAAUUUUGUUUAAGCCCAUAGCCAAGAAAAUGCAGUAAAUAAAUACAGAAUGUAUGAAUCCCUCUUGAGUACUGUUUUUCAAUCAAUCACAUAUGAAAUUGCCACUAUCUCUGCUUAUAAAAGGAAUGUGAUCAGAAUUUGUCAUCACAGCAUUAUUUGUCCACUUUUUUCCU
rnacentral:lncRNA from 1 species